rnacentral:rRNA from 1 species
UGGUGGAGUGAUUUGUCUGGUUAAUUCCGAUAACGAACGAGACCACCGCCUGCUAAAUAGUACCGCGCAAUGGCUCCGGGCAACAUGGGGCGUGUCGCGGCUUGGAGGUGUGCGGGGCACUUGUGUCUCGCGCAGUGAAAAGCACUGAACGCGCGCGUCUUCCGGAUCGCACCAUUGCGGCACGGGCACUUCUUAGAGGGACUGUACACGCGUCAAGUGUACCGGAAGUGGUGGCAAUAACA